rnacentral:rRNA from 1 species
GUGCCAGCAGCCGCGGUAAUACGAAGGGUGCAAGCGUUACUCGGAAUUACUGGGCGUAAAGCGUGCGUAGGUGGUUGUUUAAGUCUGUUGUGAAAGCCCUGGGCUCAACCUGGGAACUGCAGUGGAAACUGGACAACUAGAGUGUGGUAGAGGGUAGCGGAAUUCCCGGUGUAGCAGUGAAAUGCGUAGAGAUCGGGAGGAACAUCCAUGGCGAAGGCAGCUACCUGGACCAACACUGACACUGAGGCACGAAAGCGUGGGGAGCAAACAGGAUUAGAUACCCCAGUAGUCC